rnacentral:lncRNA from 1 species
GUAAAAUUGUUUAACAGGUCAACAUCUAUCUGCCCUGAAAUUUUCAGAUGAAUCGGACAACCCGUUGUUGGGUUGCUGCCCCUGAAUUGGUAAUUUUAAGGAAAUUUUGCUGUUUUUGGUUAUUAUCUUGAAUAUUAUUAUAGAUAUAGAUAAACUGUAAACAGCAAUAAAGUUCAGCAAAGUAAGAUUUACAAAUAAGUCAACAUUUGGAAAUGGUCAAUUGACCCCCUAAGGAGUUAUUGUCCUUUAUAGUCAAUUUUUAACAAUUUUCAUAAAAUUUGUAAAUUUUAACUAACAUUUUCCACUGAAACUACUGGGCCAAGUUCAUUAUAGAUAGAGAUACUUGUAAGCAGCAAGAAUGUUCAUUAAAGUAAGAUGUACAAACACAUCACCAUCACUAAAACACAAUUUUGUCAUGAAUCCAUCUGCUUCCUUUGUUUAAUAUUCACAUAGACCAAGGUGAGCGACACAGGCUCUUUAGAGCCUCUAGUUUAAAACUAUGGGCCAAAUUUAACCAAACUUGGCCACAAUCAUUACAAGGGUAUCUAUUUUAAAAAAGUGUCUUAUGACCCUGCCUGCCAACCAAGAUGGCCGACAUCAGUAAAUACAGUAACAGAUGAGCGACACAGGCUCUUGAGA